CCCUUUCUCUCACUUCUCACUUCUUCUUCUUCUUCUUCUGUUCUUCUCUUUCUCUCUCUUGAACUACAAUGGUAGAAGACGUGUGUUUCCUCUACAAGAUACUUCCUUUCUACUUCCUUAUUGCUCCUUUUUACGGUCAAACCCAUAUGUUUUUUUUUUCAUUUGUGCGCUGACCUUUUUCUCUCACUUCUCACUUUUUCUUCUUCUUCUUCUUCUUCUUCUUCUUCUUCUCUUUCUCUCUCUUGAACUACAAUGAUAGAAGACGUGUGUUUAUUUUUUGGCAUAUUUUAUGCAGAGAAGGUGGAAGAACACAUUAAAGCUGCGAUUUUUAUCUCAGCAACUCCAUGAGUACAGGUUCAUAAACACAAAAGCUUAAAUUUUUUUGGGUGUUCUACCUUUAUUUUGUUUUCUGACUUCUCGCAAUACAAAAGUUUAAAUUUUUUUGUGUUCCUGAGCCUUCUCCAACGUGUUCAUUGCUUCCUAUACCCAGCUUUUUGUGUUUUCGUCAUUUUUUGGUGGUGUAAUGGUUCAAUAUAUUUUUUGGCAUGUUGUAUGCGGAGAAGGUGGAAGAACACACUAAAGCUGCGAUUUUUAUCUCAAAAAAGCUUUGAUUUUUAUCUUAUACAGGGAAGGUGGAAGAGCACACUACAGGUGCGAUUUUUAUCUGAAAACUCCAUGAGUACAGGUUCCUUUUCUUUGAUUUUUUGGUUUGCGGUUAAAUUUUUUCAUCUUCGUCAGCCUUCUCGAACGUGUUCAUUCCUUCCUAUACCCACUUUUUUGGGGUUUUAUGAUUUUUCGCAAGACAAAAGCUUUAAUUUUUUUGGGUGUUCUUCCUUUAUUUUGUUUUCUAAGUUCUCGCACUGCAAAAAGCUUAAAUUUUUUUGUGUUCCUAAGCGUUGCAUUUAACAGCUAGGACUUUUGGCAUUGCAAAAAGCUCCAUGAGUACAGGUUUGUUUUCUGAGUUCUUGCACUACAAAAGGCUUCUACACCUUGCAUUGCAUUUUGGGUUUAUAUCUGUAUCAUUGGAUAACUUUUUUUUUUUGUUUCUUGAUUUUUUGCAACCCAAAACCUUUAAUUUUUUGGGAUGUUCUGCCUUUAUUUUAUUUUCUGAGUUCUCGCAACACAAAAUCUUAAAUUUUUUUGUGCUCCUCAUCCAUCUCCAACUUUUUGUGCCUUCGUCCUUUUUUGGUGGUGUAAAGGUUCAAUAUAUUUGUUUGCGUUGCAUUUUUGCGUUCUGAUGUAGCAAUGGCAAGAAUUCUUAACAAAAAAUUAGUUGACAAUUGUAUGGGAGCUGAUAAUCAAGAAGCAGCAAAAUUGGAGUGAUGAUGACCCCAUUUGAUUGAUGAAUAACAGUUUAAAAUUGUAAUUUAAUAAUUAUGGUUUCCAGACAAUGUAUUUAUUAGGUUGUAAUGUAAAAUAAUUUUAAACUGUUAGUGUAUUUAAUGUAAAUAAAAGAAAUUUUAAACA